ACGCUCGACACCUACGNGAGGCAGCAGUCGGGAAUAUUGCGCAAUGGAGGAAACUCUGACGCAGUGACGCCGCGUGCAGGAAGAAGGUUUUCGGAUUGUAAACUGCUUUAGACAGGGAAGAAAGAAAUGACAGUACCUGUAGAAUAAGCUCCGGCUAACUACGUGCCAACAGCCGCGGUAAUCUGAGCGGGCUGGCAAGGC
rnacentral:rRNA from 1 species